UACCUCAGUGGUAGAGUGCUUGCCUCGCAUGCAUGAUGCCUGGGGUUCAAUUCCUCA
rnacentral:tRNA from 1 species